rnacentral:rRNA from 1 species
GACGAACGCUGGCGGCGUGCUUAACACAUGCAAGUCGAACGGAAAGGCCCUGCUUUUGUGGGGUGCUCGAGUGGCGAACGGGUGAGUAACACGUGAGUAACCUGCCCUUGACUUUGGGAUAACUUCAGGAAACUGGGGCUAAUACCGGAUAGGAGCUCCUGCUGCAUGGUGGGGGUUGGAAAGUUUCGGCGGUUGGGGAUGGACUCGCGGCUUAUCAGCUUGUUGGUGGGGUAGUGGCUUACCAAGGCUUUGACGGGUAGCCGGCCUGAGAGGGUGACCGGCCACAUUGGGAAUGAGAUACGGCCCAGACUCCUACGGGAGGCAGCAGUGGGGAAUAGUGCACAAUGGGCGGAAGCCUGAUGCAGCAACGCCGCGUGCGGGAUGACGGCCUUCGGGUUGUAAACCGCUUUCGCCUGUGACGAAGCGUGAGUGACGGUAAUGGGUAAAGAAGCACCGGCUAACUACGUG